rnacentral:rRNA from 1 species
UACGUAGGGUGCGAGCGUUGUCCGGAUUUAUUGGGCGUAAAGGGCUCGUAGGCGGCCUGUCGCGUCGGGAGUGAAAGCCCACUGCUUAACGGUGGGUCUGCUUCCGGUACGGGCGGGCUAGAGUAUGGCAGGGGAGACUGGAAUUCCUGGUGUAGCGGUGGAAUGCGCAGAUAUCAGGAGGAACACCGAUGGCGAAGGCAGAUCUCUGGGCCGUAACUGACGCUGAGGAGCGAAAGCAUGGGGAGCGAACAGG